GAUGAACGCUGGCGGCGUGCCUAAUACAUGCAAGUCGAGCGAAUGGAUUAAGAGCUUGCUCUUAUGAAGUUAGCGGCGGACGGGUGAGUAACACGUGGGUAACCUGCCCAUAAGACUGGGAUAACCCCGGGAAACCGGGGCUAAUACCGGAUAACAUUUUGAACCGCAUGGUUCGAAAUUGAAAGGCGGCUUCGGCUGUCACUUAUGGAUGGACCCGCGUCGCAUUAGCUAGUUGGUGAGGUAACGGCUCACCAAGGCAACGAUGCGUAGCCGACCUGAGAGGGUGAUCGGCCACACUGGGACUGAGACACGGCCAGACUCCUACGGGAGGCAGCAGUAGGGAAUCUUCCGCAAUGAACGAAAGUCUGACGGAGCAACGCCGCGUGAGUGAUGAAGGCUUUCGGGUCGUAAAACUCUGUUGUUAGGGAAGAACAAGUGCUAGUUGAAUAAGCUGGCACCUUGACGGUACCUAACCAGAAAGCCACGGCUAACUACGUGCCAGCAGCCGCGGUAA
rnacentral:rRNA from 1 species